rfam:Gossypium hirsutum cultivar TM-1 chromosome 4, whole genome shotgun sequence
UGUUAAAAAUUCCAUCUAUUUUUACUGUUAAAAUUUAGCGUGGUUGAUGGUGUAACCAAACAGUUACACACACUGUAUUAUGUGUACCUCAUGCUAACGUACAAGAACUAAUUUUAAGUAAUAGAAGUGGAUAGAAUUUUUAACA